CGCCGCCCGGACCCGUCCUGCUGGGGCGCAGGUGCCCCUAGAGGAGGCCGCCCGGGGCCCCCGUCGGUUCUGAAAAUUUUUAGUAUAACUGUUCAGAAAACAUUAAUGAAAAUUUCAAGACGUACUUCUCCCCAUAACAUUCCCAUAAUGAAGCCUGUUUGAUGGGAGAUGUAUGUAGAUGCCAGUGGUUUUAGGUGAGUGAAUGACAGACAUAGGAAUAUUGUUUGCACAAUGAUUAAAAACGUUUACGUUUUAGACUUUCUUUUCGUUC
rnacentral:lncRNA from 1 species